rnacentral:piRNA from 1 species
UGGUGAUCCACAGUUCUCCUCACAGGCU